UUGGAGGGCAAGUCUGGUGCCAGCAGCCGCGGUAAUUCCAGCUCCAAUAGCGUAUAUUAAAGUUGUUGCAGUUAAAAAGCCCGUAGUUGAAUUUCGGGGUUCUACCGUUGGUCGGGCUAUUGUCUGUACUGGCGUGUAGAAUUUCUACCUUCUGGGGAACUAUCAUGUUAUUAAUUUAGCGUGGUAGGAAACCAGGACCUUUACCUUGAAAAAAUUAGAGUGUUCAAAGCAGGCUUAUGUCUGAAUACAUUAGCAUGGAAUAAUAAAAUAGGACGGUGGUCCUGUUUUGUUGGUUUCUGAAUCACCGUAAUGAUUAAUAGGGAUAGUUGGGGGCAUUAGUAUUCAAUUGUCAGAGGUGAAAUUCUUGGAUUUAUUGAAGACUAACUACUGCGAAAGCAUUUGCCAAGGAUGUUUUCAUUAAUCAAGAACGAAAGUUAGGGGAUCGAAGACGAUCAGAUACCGUCGUAGUCUUAACCAUAAACUAUGCCGACUAGGGAUCGGAUGAUGUUAAUUUUUCUUGACUCGUUCGGCGCCUUACGGGAAA
rnacentral:rRNA from 1 species